rnacentral:rRNA from 1 species
AGAGUUUGAUCAUGGCUCAGAGCGAACGCUGGCGGCAGGCCUAACACAUGCAAGUCGAACGGGCCCUUCGGGGUCAGUGGCAGACGGGUGAGUAACGCGUGGGAACGUGCCCAUCGGUUCGGAAUAACCCAGGGAAACUUGGGCUAAUACCGGAUACGUCCUUUUUGGAGAAAGAUUUAUCGCCGAUGGAUCGGCCCGCGUCUGAUUAGCUAGUUGGUGGGGUAAUGGCCCACCAAGGCGACGAUCAGUAGCUGGUCUGAGAGGAUGAUCAGCCACACUGGGACUGAGACACGGCCCAGACUCCUACGGGAGGCAGCAGUGGGGAAUAUUGGACAAUGGGCGCAAGCCUGAUCCAGCCAUGCCGCGUGAGUGAUGAAGGCCCUAGGGUUGUAAAGCUCUUUCACCCACGACGAUAAUGACGGUAGUGGGAGAAGAAGCCCCGGCUAACUUCGUGCCAGCAGCCGCGGUAAUACGAAGGGGGCUAGCGUUGCUCGGAAUCACUGGGCGUAAAGGGCGCGUAGGCGGACCUUUAAGUCAGGGGUGAAAGCCUGUGGCUCAACCACAGAAUUGCCUUUGAUACUGAGGGUCUCGAGACCGGAAGAGGUUGGUGGAACUGCGAGUGUAGAGGUGAAAUUCGUAGAUAUUCGCAAGAACACCAGUGGCGAAGGCGGCCAACUGGUCCGGUUCUGACGCUGAGGCGCGAAAGCGUGGGGAGCAAACAGGAUUAGAUACCCUAGUAGUCC